UUCUUGAACUUCUUGUUAGAUUUCAAGUCUGUAUUUUGUGUCCGUGACACAAAUCCUAAAUAAACCUUAGUCAAAUUCUAAACAAAUCCUAGUCAAAUCUUAAACAAAUCCUAGUCAAAUCCUAAAAAAAUUUAAACAAAUCCUAACCAAAUCUUAAAUAAACCUUAAUUGAAGUCUAAAAAAAUCCUAACCAAAUCUUGGUCAAAUCCUAAAAAAUACUAAUCAAAUCCUAAACAAACCAUAACCAAACCCUAGCCAAAUCCUAAACAAACCUUAACCAAAUCUUAAUCAAAUCUUAAACAAAUCCUAACCAAAUACUAAUCAAAUCCUAAACAAAAUCUAACCAAAUUCUAAUCAAAUUCUAAUCAAAUCUUAAUCAAAUCCUAAACAAACCUAAACAAAUCUUAACGAAAUCCUAAUCAAAUC
rnacentral:lncRNA from 1 species